UGGGGAAUUUUGGACAAUGGGGGCAACCCUGAUCCAGCAAUGCCGCGUGUGUGAAGAAGGUCUUCGGAUUGUAAAGCACUUUAAGUUGGGAGGAAGGGCAGUAAAUUAAUACUUUGCUGUUUUGACGUUACCGACAGAAUAAGCACCGGCUAACUCUGUGCCAGCAGCCGCGGUAAUACAGAGGGUGCAAGCGUUAAUCGGAAUUACUGGGCGUAAAGCGCGCGUAGGUGGUUCGUUAAGUUGGAUGUGAAAUCCCCGGGCUCAACCUGGGAACUGCAUUCAAAACUGACUGACUAGAGUAUGGUAGAGGGUGGUGGAAUUUCCUGUGUAGCGGUGAAAUGCGUAGAUAUAGGAAGGAACACCAGUGGCGAAGGCGACCACCUGGACUGAUACUGACACUGAGGUGCGAAAGCGUGGGGAGCAAACAGGAUUAGAUACCCACGUAGUCCCUGAGCGGGCUGGCAAGGCGCAU
rnacentral:rRNA from 1 species